rnacentral:rRNA from 1 species
CCAAAACGUGGGGUCAACACCGAGAGGUGAUGAGGCCGAUCUUCGGAUCGGAAACUCGGUGAUCCCAUGCUUCCAAGAAAAGCUGCGCGCAGAGCCACUCUAGUGACCGUACCGCAAACCGACUCAGGUGGGCGGGGUGAAUAUCCCAAGGCGCGUGAGAGAACGCUGGCUAAGGAACUCGGCAAAAUAGCACCGUAACUUCGGGAGAAGGUGUGCCCAUGGAGGUGAGAGACUUCGCGUCUCGAGCGUCCGUGGGUCGCAGUGAAACGGGGGUUGCGACUGUUUACUAAAAACACAGGACUCUGCGAACUCGUAAGAGGACGUAUAGGGUCUGACGCCUGCCCGGUGCUGGAAGGUUAAGGGGAGGUGUUAGCCGUAAGGCGAAGCACCGAACCGAAGCCCCAGUAAACGGCGGCCGUAACGAUAACGGUCCUAAGGUAGCGAAAUUCCUUGUCGGGUAAGUUCCGACCUGCACGAUGGCGUAACGACAUCCCCACUGUCUCGGCCAGCGACUCAGCGAAAUUGUAAUCGCGGUGAAGAUACCGUGUUCCCGCGGCAAGACGGAAAGACCCCAUGAACCUUUACUGCAACUUGGCAGUGAUGCUCGGAGCAAUCUGCGUAGGAUAGGUGGGAGGCUUUGAAGCGGGGCUUGCGGGCUUCGUGGAGCCAACCUUGAAAUACCACCCUGGUUGCUCUGGGCGUCUAACCUGGGCCCGUGAUCCGGGUCGGGGACACUGCCUGGUGGGCAGUUUGACUGGGGCGGUCGCCUCCUAAAGAGUAACGGAGGCGCGCGAAGGUGCCCUCAGGCUGAUUGGAAACCAGCCGUAGAGUGCAAAGGCAUAAGGGCGCUUAACUGCGAGACCGACGGGUCGAGCAGAUGCGAAAGCAGGCCUUAGUGAUCCGGUGGUUCCGCAUGGAAGGGCCAUCGCUCAUCGGACAAAAGGUACUCUGGGGAUAACAGGCUGAUCGCGCCUGAGAGUUCAUAUCGGCGGCGCGGUUUGGCACCUCGAUGUCGGCUCAUCGCAUCCUGGGGCUGGAGCAGGUCCCAAGGGUUCGGCUGUUCGCCGAUUAAAGCGGUACGCGAGCUGGGUUUAGAACGUCGUGAGACAGUUCGGUCCCUAUCUGCCGUGGGCGCAGGAUGCUUGAGAGGAGCUGUUCAUAGUACGAGAGGACCUGAACGGACGCACCUCUAGUGUUCCAGUUGUCCCGCCAGGGGCAUCGCUGGGUAGCUAUGUGCGGAACGGAUAACCGCUGAAAGCAUCUAAGCGGGAAACCGACCUCGAGAUUAGGCAUCCCGGGCCGCAAGGCCCCUGAAGGCCCCUCGAAGACUACGAGGAGAUAGGCAGGGUGUGGAAGCGCAGCGAUGCGUGAAGCUAACCUGUACUAAUCGGCCGUGAGGCUUGAUC